rnacentral:rRNA from 1 species
ACUCAAAUGAAUUGACGGGGACCCGCACAAGCGGUGGAUUAUGUGGAUUAAUUCGAUGCAACGCGAAAAACCUUACCUACCCUUGACAUGUGCGGAACCCGGUGGAGACAUCGGGGUGCCCGAAAGGGAGCCGCAACACAGGUGCUGCAUGGCUGUCGUCAGCUCGUGUCGUGAGAUGUUGGGUUAAGUCCCGCAACGAGCGCAACCCUUGCCGUUAAUUGCCAUCAUUUCGGGUGGGCACUUUAACGGGACUGCCGGUGACAAACCGGAGGAAGGUGGGGAUGACGUCAAGUCCUCAUGGCCCUUAUGGGUAGGGCCUCACACGUAAUACAAUGGCGCAUACAAAGGGAAGCGAAGGGGCGACCUGGAGCGAAUCCCUGCAAAGUGCGUCGUAGUCCGGAUCGGAGUCUGCAACUCGACUCCGUGAAGUCGGAAUCGCUAGUAAUCGCGGAUCAGCAUGUCGCGGUGAAUACGUUCCCGGGUCUUGUACACACCGCCCGU